rnacentral:rRNA from 1 species
GACGAACGCUGGCGGCGUGCUUAACACAUGCAAGUCGAACGGAAAGGCUCCAGCUUGCUGGAGUACUCGAGUGGCGAACGGGUGAGUAACACGUGGGUGAUCUGCCCUGCACUUCGGGAUAAGCCUGGGAAACUGGGUCUAAUACCGGAUAGGACCGCACUUUGGUGUGUGUGGUGGAAAGGUUUUUCUGGUGUGGGAUGAGCUCGCGGCCUAUCAGUUUGUUGGUGGGGUAAUGGCCUACCAAGACGGCGACGGGUAGCCGGCCUGAGAGGGUGGACGGUCACAUUGGGAAUGAGAUACGGCCCAGACUCCUACGGGAGGCAGCAGUGGGGAAUAUUGCACAAUGGGGGAAACCCUGAUGCAGCGACGCCGCGUGGGGGAUGAAGGCCUUCGGGUUGUAAACUCCUUUCGCUAGGGACGAAGCUUUUUGUGACGGUACCUGGAGAAGAAGCACCGGCUAACUACGUG